rnacentral:lncRNA from 1 species
GGCUGAACUGAAUAACAUCCCCUGGCCUCCCCACUACCCACUAGGUAUACACUUUCAGUUACACAGGUUCUAGAACGCGAUAGUAUAGUAUCGUAUCUACAGUUAACGAUACCAGAUUGUAUAGUUAAAAAUUUGUUAGGAGAGUCCAUCUCAUGUUAAAUAUUCCCACUACAAUAGAAACAAGUCUUCCUGAAGUUUAUCUCUAAGAAGAAAGUGUAGGUUGAAUUGUCCCAUACACAGUUGUAUCCCCUUGAGAGAAGCAAUUGUUCCUGGUCCCUGGGAGUCUCAGCUUCCUGAAUGGCCUCUGGCCUGAGAAGGAAUUCCUUGUGCCCAGAAUCUGACAUGAAUGUUCAAUAUUUCUGAAGAUAGGGAUUUGGAUCUAAAGAGAAGGAGAUGAAAAGCCCCAUGUAAGAACUGCAUUCUAAAAUAUAUAUGUGUGGAACCAAUCCAAAUGCAUCCUACAAGCUAAGGCUACAUUUAAAUUUAUCUCUGCAAAAUCUCCUAAUAGCCUUGAGUAUGUACACUGUUCUUCCUUUUAGAAACCUUUAAUUGCAAAGUACAUAUUUCUUAAGAUUGCUUUCUUUUGGAAGAAAGACCUAAAAAUGUUUUCUGAAUGUCCCUUAGGAUCUGGAAUUAGCAGUCAUUGUGGUUCUACAUUCCAGAGGAAAGAUGCAAUACAGUUAGAUUAUUCUCUUGAAUGACGAGGAGAAAUGCUGAUUGUAUUGCUCUCUGAAGACACAAAAUGUUAUUGAACUGCUAAAGAACAAAGACAAUAAUGCUACUGAUUGUGACCAUAGCUUUAGUUAUUAUCAAAACUUGGCUGACCAGUGAUGGAGUGUUGGUGAGGGGCAGGCUGACUUGGCUGGCGUGGCUUCUGCAUCAGUCAGGGUCCCAGCAGAAAACAGAUGGCUCACUUGCUGGGUAACUGAGGAGGGUUUAAUACAGGACUUGUUCUCAAAGACAUAGGCUGGGUUUGAGAAAUCCGCAAGGCUCUUUUUUACAAUAGCCAAGAAGUGGAAGCAACUCAAGUGUCCAUUGAUAGCUGAAUGGAUAAACAAAAUGUGGUAUAGACAUAUCCUGGAAUAUUAUUCAGAUUUAAAAAGGAAGGAAAUUCUGACGCAGCCUGCAAUAUGGAUGAAUCUUGAGGACAUCAUGGUAUGUGAAAAAACCUGACACAAAAGGAUAAAUAUUGUUUGAUUUUACUGAUAAAAGGUACCUGGAGUAACUGGAUUCAGUUACUGGAUAUGGAAAAUAGAAUAGUAGCGGCCAGACUCUAGGGGCAGAGCAAGAGUUUUGGUUUUGUGGGAUGAAAGGAGCCUGGGGAUGCAUGGUGGCGUUGGUUAUACAACAGUGUGACUGUAUGUAAUGCCA